rfam:Brassica oleracea var. oleracea cultivar TO1000 chromosome C4, whole genome shotgun sequence
UUAUAUAUGUGUAUGUAAUUGCGGGGUUCUAAGCUUUACGGGAAACCUAACCGAAAGUUUCUUAAAUAAGAAACUUUCGGUUGGAGUUCUAAGAAACUUUCAGUUGGGUUUCCCGUAAAGUUUAGAAUCCCGCAAUUACAUACACAUAUAUAA